rnacentral:rRNA from 1 species
UACGAAGGGGGCGAGCGUUGUUCGGAAUUACUGGGCGUAAAGGGUGUGUAGGCGGUUAGGUAAGAUAGCGGUGAAAUCCCGAGGCUCAACCACGGAAUUGCCGUUGUUACUAUUUAACUAGAAUGACAGAGAGGAUAUUGGAAUACCCAGUGUAGAGGUGAAAUUCGUAGAUAUUGGGUAGAACACCGGUGGCGAAGGCGAGUAUCUGGCUGUAAAUUGACGCUGAGGCACGAAAGCAUGGGGAUCAAAC